GCACUAUCAGCAGCAGGAGCAGCAGCAACCCCUCAACAGCAACAUUGUACCCAUCAGACAUCCCUGGACCUGUCCCUGUUACCUGUCUGAAUCAUCUGAGAGCGACUGAGUGGCAACGUACAAGUGGAGCGGAAGUGUGAGUGACUGCAGAGGAGAGUGGAGCGAUUACAGAAGAGCAUCGUUUGUGUGUGUGGACUUUUCCCCCUAUAUUUUCCCCUCAGAGCCCUGGUACCCUGCACAUUGUAUGUAUUGCACUUGGUGAACUUUGUAAUUAAAGCUAACUAUCUUUUGAAAAGGA